AUUGAACGCUGGCGGCAGGCCUAACACAUGCAAGUCGAGCGGUAGAGAGAAGCUUGCUUCCCUUGAGAGCGGCGGACGGGUGAGUAAUGCCUAGGAAUCUGCCUGGUAGUGGGGGAUAACGUUCGGAAACGGACGCUAAUACCGCAUCCGUCCUACGGGAGAAAGCAGGGGACCUUCGGGCCUUGCGCUAUCAGAUGAGCCUAGGUAGGAUUAGCUAGUUGGUGGGGUAAUUGCUCACCAAGGCGACGAUCCGUAACUGGUCUGAGAGGAUGAUCAGUCACACUGGAACUGAGACACGGUCCAGACUCCUACGGGAGGCAGCAGUGGGGAAUAUUGGACAAUGGGCGAAAGCCUGAUCCAGCCAUGCCGCGUGUGUGAAGAAGGUCUUCGGAUUGUAAAGCACUUUAAGUUGGGAGGAAGGGCAGUAAAUUAAUACUUUGCUGUUUUGACGUUACCGACAGAAUAAGCACCGGCUAACUCUGUGCCAGCCGCCGCUGUAA
rnacentral:rRNA from 1 species